UACGGAGGGUGCAAACGUUGCUCGGAAUCAUUGGGCGUAAAGCGCACGUAGGCGGCCUGAUAAGUCGGGUGUGAAAGCCCUGGGCUCAACCCAGGAAGUGCACUCGAAACUGUCGGGCUUGAAUAUGGAAGAGGGUCGCGGAAUUCCCGGUGUAGAGGUGAAAUUCGUAGAUAUCGGGAGGAACACCAGUGGCGAAGGCGGCGACCUGGGCCAAUAUUGACGCUGAGGUGCGAAAGCGUGGGGAGCAAACAGG
rnacentral:rRNA from 1 species